GCAUAUAAUUACACUCGAUAGCAUUGCCAUUCACAAAUCCCACUCAUCAAUCUCAUUACUCACACAAACGCGGAAGGAGCUUUGAUGAGCCAUGGCCCAAUAUGAUCAACAACAUACAUUUCCUGCCGGAGGAGUUGUGGCUCCUUCGACAGCAUAUGUAAUGGUACCUCCACCAAUGGGCUAUCCGACAAGGGACACCAACCCCAAAGACCCCUUCACAGCCACUGCCGAGACAACAAGUAGAGGCGACGGCUUCUUGAAAGGAUGGUAAUCAUCUCCACUUAACUAGAAUGUAUGGCCGGACUCUGUUGUUGCUGGUGCCUCGAUUGCUGUUUCUGAUCAAUCACAUACAUACUUAUUCAUUCAUUUUUUAUUUUUAUUUUAGAGUUUAUGUUUAUUGGAUUAUUUGAUUGAUAUGCAACCUAUGCUACUGCUGCUUUGUGCAACACAGAUUUUAAAUGUAUUGUAUUUACCAAUAUCCUAAUUAUUCCCUGUUGAUCAAUUCUCGGACGAAA